rnacentral:lncRNA from 1 species
GUGAUGACUAAAAAUAUUAUUUUUAUGCUAAUAUUUUUUUUUUUUAUUCUAAGGACCGGACAUGUUUGGUUCACUUAUUAUAGACUAUAGAAUCAGAAUGAAAUUUACUGAUUCUAAUAGUUAUCGUUUAUUUUAUAGGAAUCAAAAUUUUCUUUCUUUAUUCCACUCCGAGUGGCCAAAUAUAUUUAUGGCUUAAUUCGACUUUUAAUCCUGAAUUGGUCCAUUCUAAAAUAAAUUAUUUAAAAAUUUUCUUUAACCAACACCUUCCUCCUCUUCCUUCGUCACUUUUCUCUCUCUUCUCUUUCUUACUUGAAAUUUUGUUUACAAAUUUUAAAUUUUCAUUUCGAUUUUUAUUCUAAUAAUAAAUUAAAUAUUUUUGAAUGAUUUGCCACUUUAUUUUUUAUUUUAAAAUAAUUUGAUUUAAUUUUUUAUUUCUAUUUAAA